rnacentral:misc_RNA from 1 species
GCAAACUUGGUCAUUUAGAGGAAGUAAAAGUCGUAACAAGGUUUCCGUAGGUGAACCUGCGGAAGGAUCAUUCACAAUAAGUGUUUAUGGCACUUUUUUAAAAAAUCCAUAUCCACCUUGUGUGCAACGUAAAGGAAAAGAGAAGAGAAAAGGAUUUUAAAUCUUUUUCAUUCUCUCUUUUUCUCUCACUACACCUUUCUAUUGAAUCUAUUGUCUAAAGUCUAUUAUGAAUAUAUAAUUCAAAAUACAACUUUCAACAACGGAUCUCUUGGCUCUCGCAUCGAUGAAGAACGCAGC